CUCUUCAUCCUUCUGAGUAGUGGAUAACAACUUCCAGUACAUACACGUAAGAAUCGUAAUAUUCACAGUGAUUCCCACAACCAUUGCAGGGAGAAUUCUCCAGAGAAAAUUCCCAAAAGAAAUCUUACUCUGAACUGCUAUAACCAGGUUUUGAGGGUUGCCAAUCGGAGUGGCUGAAGAUCCAAUAUUUGCACUUGAGGCGAGGGCAAGUAGGAAUGGCUCAGGAGGGAGAUUAUGCUGCCUUGCGACUUUCAGCACAAAUUCAGUCAAAACCACACAAGAGGUGUCGUUAGUAAAAAGAGCACUUGAAAUAGCAGAGAUGAGGCAAAUUCGAAAAAGCAAGUCCUUGGCACCCUUGCUUUUCCAUGACAGCAACUUACCCAAGUAUUUGAACAUAUCUGCUCUCUCAAGAUAAACGCUGACGACCAUCGUUCCAAAUAAAAGACCAAGGAUUGGGAGAUCAAUCGCAGCAUAUGCUUGAUCUGGGGUCAUGACUUGGAAGAUGACCAUAAGCAUAGCUCCGAGAAGGGACCCUGCAGUCCUUCCAACAGGUAAAAAUGGGAUAGAAGGGAAAAGAGCCAGUAUCCAGAAGACGGCAAAAGCAAUUGAACCUGGAACUACUUUUACAGCAGAAGCUAUAGCCAUUUUUUUCUUACUUUCUUGUUCUCAGACACAGGAUGAUUAAAACAUUAUCCAGCAGAACUUCAUUUGAGGACAAAACAUUUUCUAGCCAACUGAGUAUAACCACUUCAAAGAUUCAGCACUGAAACUGCCAAACAUCAAACUUUAAGUUCCAGAAAUCAAAAUAUUACAAAUACGCAGUAAUCAAACAGCUGGACUACAGUCAGUAGACAAACAAAGGACGUAAACGAACAGCUCAUAUAGAAAAUUACAAAAGGUCAAAAGCUCAACUACCAAGAAACAACGAAGUGACAGACCAACUAAUGAUAGUUCCAGGAUUUCACUUUCCAUGGAUUUCCAGUAGAAUAUGGCCGAGUUGCAAGUGAAUCAAAAUGAAAAGCAAUAUUAAAAAUGCGAUACAAAUCGACGUAAAGACAGUAACAUGAAACAUAAUCAUUAUCAAAUUAUAGGCGUCUAAAGCUGAUAAGAAACCUGGUGCAAAGUUUAUCUGUUUUUACUGUAAAUCUAAAGCCAAGUACAAAGGAAAAAAAAACGCUCACCUCAGCAGCGAGUUUUAAAGCUUCAACUUGAGAACCAAAGUGAUGGUUCGGAGCCUUAAAAUAGGCAAGCACGCAGACGCAAAAGGACAAAAGAAACACCUGGAGCACUUAAGAUUUAUAGCUUUGAGGUUAAAAGAAAUGGAGAAAGAUGGAACAGCAGAUGCGGAUUACACUAACAAAAGCAUCUUCUAUAUAGUAUGACCAUGAUGUGAACUUGGCCACCAAGUUGGAAUCCUAGUGGGUACGGCAUUCCACAAAUAUCUGCGUUCCUGGGCAGACGAUUUUUAAGAUAGAUCUUUCCCACGUGGCACAAGGUAAAUGGGUCUCUUCCUACAUUUUAAAUACUGCACUCCACCGUCCCAUAAUUUUCCUUCAAUUAAUUUUUUACAUUAACUUUUCAAUUCAUAGAACAUAAAUAUAAUGUACAAACGCACCAAGUUACUAUAAUGCAAUUAACACUUAAUUUAUUUUAAAACAAAACUGUUAAAAAUUAUUUGCUUUAUUUAAUAAAUAUUAUUUAAUUGGAGUUAUAAUAUGAAAUUUCAGUAUGCAGAGUCAUAGGACUGUAAAUGAGCCAAGCUAUUCGUAAGCUACUCGAGAUUCGACUCGAUAAAAAUUCGAUCGAGUUCGGCUCGUUUUUUAAACGAGUCAAGCUCGAAUUCAAUUUUGAGGCUCGUCACUUAAACGAGCUGAACUUGAGCUCCAUAGUAUUCGGCUCGUUAAGACUCGCGAGUUGGCUCGUUUUUAGGCUGGCGAGCUGGUUCGUUGAAAAGGCUCACGAGCAGGCUCGUUAAAUAGGCUCGUGAGUAAUAUUGUUUAAAUAAAUUGGUGAACCAAUUCUUUAAAUAAAUUUAUGAACAAGUUCAUAUAUUAUUAAAAAAAUAAAAAUAACUAUAAAGUUAUAAAAUUUAAACUAUUAUAAAUACUUGAAAAUUAUAGUAUUGAAAAUUACAAAUAAUUAAGAUUAAUUAUUAUAAUUAAUAUUCUUUAAAAUUAAAUUAUAAAAAUCUUUUGUAUAUAAUUAUUAUAAUAAGAUUCCAUAAAAUUAAUGUAUAAUCACAAAUAAUUAAUAUUAAUUAUUAUAAUAAGUAUUCUUUAAAAUUAUAGUACUACAUGAUAAAUUGAGUUGUAAAAAUUAUAUAUAUUUUAAAAUUAAAGUAUAAUUAUAAAAAAAAAUUUGUAUAUAAUUAAGCAUACAAUAUAAAAGAUGAUAAUAAUUAUCAAAGUAUAUUAAUAAUAAUUAAUUAAAGUUAUAUGUAUAUUGAAGUUGAAAUUCAAGUUAACUAAUUGAACAAGUAUGAAGAUGAUUAUGAAGAUAAUUAAAUUAUAUUAGCUUGUUUCAACCGUUGAAAGUUGGAAUCAACUUUAUUCGUUUGAUAUUAAACUUUGUAUGUAAUCUAAUUUUAUUAUGUUGUUGAAUUUAUAUUUAUUUGUGUUAUUUUAGUUAUAAAUUGUGUUACGUAAUUUUUUUUAUAUACACUCUUUUUUUUUAUAUUAUUUAAAUUAAUGAUGAUUAAAAACUGAUUAAAGUGUAAUUAUUAAUUCGAACUCGAGCCUGAACUUGAGCUCAAACCAAACUUUUUAAUUUUGAGUUCGGUCUCGAGCUUUUUUAACGAGUUUCUUAAUCGAGCUUUCCGAGUUCGAGCUCGAGUUUUAUUAACGAGCUUCUUAAUCGAGCUUUUCAAGCUCGAACUCGAAUUAGGCUCGUUAUUAAAUCGAACGAGCUUUUCACGAGUCAAGCUCGAAUCGAACUCGAUUAUAAUAUUUAAUUUUCGAGCCGAACUCGAAUCAAAUAUUAGAGCUCGAGUCGAGCUCGAACUUCCAAACUUUUUUAAUAAACGAGCUUGAACUUUACAAAAUUCGGCUCGGCUCGGCUCGAUUACAGCAGAGAGAAAAGAAAAUGACAUUAGAACAAAAAAACUGAAUUUAUAAGAAUGUAUCUGAUCAAAUUUACAUUAUUUUUUAAUGUUUGACAUGCAAAUAAAUUGUCACAAUUAUAAUUAUGAUAUCAAAAUAAAAUAUUGCAUUUUAACAUCAAUUUUCUUUAUUUCUUUAGAAAUCAACCUAAUUAGCUUAAAUGAUUAACGAUGAUUCUUCAAACAAUUAAAAAUUACACUACCUAUAAAAAAAAAUAUUAGCAACAAUUAAAAUUGAUAGGAAAAUUACAUUUCUAACCCCAACAUACUGCUUCUUUUUCGAAAAAAAAAAGAGCUAAGUUUGGUGUUUAAUUUGUUUAAAAUGGAAACCCGUUUUAAUCCGCUUUGGAUUUUCGGUUACAUUUCUAACUUCAAAUCCAAUCAUAUUUUCAUUUAAUUGGUGAAUAUUUUUUUAUCGAUUUUUUGUCAUUUUAUAUAUACGAGGUGAAGUUUAAAUUUCUGAUUGAAUUGAAUUAGUCCGAUUGAUCGACUUAAUUCAGAUUUGAUUUGAUAUUCAUUAAAAACAAGUGCAUAUCGUCCUUAAAAAUUGAGAGAUAUUGCAUUAACCUUCAUAUAAUAAUAGCUCAUUGAUGAGCAAAGGCUACUCUCAAGCUUUGGUAAAACAAAAACAGUUAUUGCAUUCAUAGAUAGGUGUUCUUAAAGGUACAUCAUCUUAUGAGCAUCAAUCCAAUAGCAGUAACUAUAAUAGUUGAAGGAAUUCCAAAUUUAAGAUGUUUCCAAAAAGUUAAGUCGUAACCAAAUUGCGGAGCUCUCCGAGCUUGCUCACAAACUAUCAAGUUGGCAGCUGAUCCCAAUAGCGACAGAUUUCCAGCUACAGUACUGACCCAAGCCAAAUAUAGCCAUGCCUUUUUCUCAUCAGCUGCAGAAAUUGCAGCUGCUGAUGCUGCUACCCGUCCACCAAGCAAGAGAACUGAGGAUCAUAUAAACAAUACCUUUAAGAUCUACUCAUCAUUAAGUUGUAGACAUGAACACACUCAAGGGACAAUCUUAACAAAGUGUUUGUAAUUACACAAAGACCAGAAUGUUGUAGGUGUGCAUUUGAACAAAAAAAAGUCCAAUUUUAGAAGCAUUUUACGAGACUCAGAAAGGGAAAAGAGGCAGGUAAAAGUAACAUUUCUGUCACUGCUCAAGGCUGGGUUGUUAACAAUUCAUCAACAAGUGAUUACUCGGUUCCAGGGCAUAAUCAGUCACUUUUUGAAGGUAUUGAUCCAGAGCACUAUACUUUCUCUCGAAUAAUAAACAGUAAACUCCACAAACUCAAAAUUCAAAGAACCUAAUUGAUUUUUGCCCCUCUACUUCUAUAGAAUCUUGCUGCCUUAACCUCUCAUACUGAAAAGUCUAGAUUAAAUUCACAAUACUAGUUACAAGGUUAGACUGCGAGAAGUUGGAAAAUUUUACCCCAGAAUAGAUGAGCAGAGUUCAACAUACCAGUUGGUACAUUUGAGGCCAAAUUUGACAGGACAAGUAUGACAGCAGCAAGAACUGCUAUUCCAGAUGCAUGAUCUAUUUUUGCAUGAGGCUCCAUUAAGUCCCACAGAGCACUUGGAAUUCCAGUUUUGUUAAAGCCAUCAACAGUGAUAAACAUUCCACAAAAGAAGAUUAAAAGCGAAUAGGAGACCUGCUAAACAAAGAAAAAGAGUCCCUUAUGCAUUCUUUAGCAAGCAAUAAAAUUUCUAAUAUCAUAUUUGCUAAUAUCAAUUCUAACAACUCCAUCAGAACAAACAGAAAAUAAAAGGAGAAAAAAAAAUUAAUAAGAGAGGGAGAGAGAGAACCAUCAUCUAUCAUGGAUUUUACCUUUUCAAGGCAUGGCCGAGCAUCCCUAAAAUCAAGAACGAUAAGAGCAAGCGCAGCAGUAAUUGCAGUCCAUGACAUGUUCAAACCCACGAGCAAAGAAACCAGCAUUCCUAUGGUAACAACGUAAACACAUGAUUUCCACAGCAUCCUUUUCCAUUUUGUAGCAAACUCUUCCUUUUCUCCUGGAAAUUGGUCAUCCAAUACAUCUCCCAACCUAUCCAAUGAUGCAAUCCUCUUUGAAGAAACAGUAUCCUCCUUUCUCUGAGAAGCCCCAUCAAUCGUCACCUCUUUGGAUGCAUUUGAAUUCCUUGCAGACUCAUACGCACUGGUUGAUGCACUGCGGAUUUCAUUCUCAGUUGAACCUAUUCGGUUCCUAAGAGUUUCAGUAUGGUUCACGUGCCCAUUUAUGUUGGGGGCGCUUUGCAUGUCCAAGGACUCCAACCUAGAAUUCCACUCCUGGGAAUUUAAGGAUGUAAAAUGUGACAUAGUAGCAGGAGAAAACCGAUGGGAAUUGACAUCUUCAUCUGCAACAACUUCUGUUGUUGCUUCUUCUUCAUCCUUCUGAAUAGCAGAUAACAACUUCCAGUACAUACACAUAAGAAUCGUAAUAUUCGCAAUGAUUCCCACAACCAUUGCAGGGAGAAUUCCUAAAAGAAAUUUCCCAAAAGAAAUCUUACUCUGAACUGCUAUAACCAGGUUUUGAGGGUUGCCAAUCGGAGUGGCUGAAGAUCCAAUAUUUGCACUUGAGGCAAGGGCAAGUAGGAAGGGCUGAGGAGGCAGAUUAUGUUGCCUUGCGAUUUUCAGCACAAAUUCAGUCAAAACCACGCAAGAGGUGUCAUUAGU
rnacentral:lncRNA from 1 species